rnacentral:sRNA from 1 species
UUUUAGCCCCGAUAGCAGCGGCACCCCACAGCGCCCGAUUUUAAGAGGGCAGCGAGGAGUAUAGCGGAUAGCGGGAACAAAG